rnacentral:rRNA from 1 species
GGUGAACGCUGGCGGCGUGCCUAAGACAUGCAAGUCGAGCGGGGCAGGUUUAUACCUGUUCAGCGGCGGACGGGUGAGUAACGCGUGGGUGACCUACCCGGAAGAGGCGGACAACCUGGGGAAACCCAGGCUAAUCCGCCAUGUGGUCCUGUCCUGUGGGGCAGGACUAAAGGGUGGAUAGCCCGCUUCCGGAUGGGCCCGCGUCCCAUCAGCUAGUUGGUGGGGUAAAGGCCCACCAAGGCGACGACGGGUAGCCGGUCUGAGAGGAUGGCCGGCCACAGGGGCACUGAGACACGGGCCCCCCUCCUACGGGAGGCAGCAGUUAGGGAUCUUCCGCAAUGGACGGAAGUCUGACGGCGCGACGCCGCUGGGAGGAGGAAGCCCUUCGGGGUGUAAACUCCUGAACUGGGGACGAAAGCCCUGUGUAGGGGGAUGACGGUACCCAGGUAAUAGCGCCGGCCAACUCCGUG